UGGGGAAUAUUGCACAAUGGAGGGAACUCUGAUGCAGCGACGCCGCGUGAACGAAGAAGGCUUUCGAGUCGUAAAGUUCUUUUAUAUGGGAAGAUAAUGACGGUACCAUAAGAAAAAGCCCCGGCUAACUACGUGCCAGCAGCCGCGGUAAUACGUAGGGGGCUAGCGUUGUCCGGAAUCACUGGGCGUAAAGGGUUCGCAGGCGGAAAUGCAAGUCAGGUGUAAAAGGCAGUAGCUUAACUACUGUAAGUAUUUGAAACUGCAUAUCUUGAGAAGAGUAGAGGUAAGUGGAAUUUUUAGUGUAGCGGUGAAAUGCGUAGAUAUUAAAAAGAAUACCGGUGGCGAAGGCGACUUACUGGGCUCAUUCUGACGCUGAGGAACGAAAGCGUGGGUAGCAAACAGG
rnacentral:rRNA from 1 species